rnacentral:rRNA from 1 species
GACGAACGCUGGCGGCGUGCCUAACACAUGCAAGUCGAGCGGGGACUUGGGUGCUUGCACCUGGGUUCUAGCGGCGGACGGGUGAGUAACGCGUGAGCAACCUGCCUCAAACUGGGGGAUAACGCAUCGAAAGAUGUGCUAAUACCGCGUAAGACCACGCUACCACAUGGUAGAGGGGUCAAAGGAGCAAUCCGGUUUGAGAUGGGCUCGCGUCCGAUUAGCUAGUUGGCGGGAUAACAGCCCACCAAGGCGACGAUCGUUAGCCGGACUGAGAGGUUGAACGGCCACAUUGGGACUGAGACACGGCCCAGACUCCUACGGGAGGCAGCAGUGAGGAAUAUUGGGCAAUGGGCGCAAGCCUGACCCAGCAACGCCGCGUGAAGGAAGAAGGGCUUUCGGGGUUGUAAACUUCUUUUACCAGGGACGAAGAACGUGACGGUACCUGGAGAAAAAGCAACGGCUAACUACGUGCCAGCAGCCGCGGU